rnacentral:rRNA from 1 species
CUGACUCAGACGAACGCUGGCGGCGCGUUUAAGCAUGCAAGUCGAGCGGCAAGGGCCUUCGGGCCCUAGAGCGGCGGACGGGUGAGUAACACGUGGACAAUCUGCCCCCCGGCCCGGGAUAGCCCAGGGAAACCUGGAUUAAUACCGGAUGAGACGGGACCCGCGAUGGCGGGACCCGGGGAAGGCGCUGCGGCGCCGCCGGGGGAUGAGUCUGCGUCCCAUUAGCUAGACGGCGGGGUAACGGCCCACCGUGGCGACGAUGGGUAGCCGGCCUGAGAGGGUGGACGGCCACAUUGGAACUGAGACACGGUCCAGACUCCUACGGGAGGCAGCAGCUAAGAAUCUUCCGCAAUGGGCGAAAGCCUGACGGAGCCGACGCCGCGUGAACGAAGAAGGCCGUGAGGUUGUAAAGUUCUUUUCGGGAGAGGGAACAACCGUGGCAGGGAAUGGCCGCGGGAUGACGUGAAUCCCGGAAUAAGCCCCGGCUAACUACGUGCCAGCCGCCGC